CAAGUAAGACAGACAAUCGCGGCUGCAUGUGCCGAAAGGCCGCAGACGAGGAAAGUCCGGGCUUCACAGGGCAGGAUGCCGGAUAACGUCCGGUGGAGGUGACUCCAAGGCCAGUGCAACAGAAAUAAACCGCCUGUUCCGGUAUAUGCCGGAGCCGGUAAGGGUGGAAAGGCAGUGUAAGAGACUACCGCCUCUCUGGUAACAGCGGGGGCACAUGUAAACCCCAUCCGAAGCAAGACCGGAAAGAAGCAGUGUGGCGGCCCGUCACGCUUCAGGUUGGUCGCUCGAGCACGGCGGCGACGCCGUGCCUAGACAGAUGAUUGUCCACGACAUAACCCGGCUUAUCGUCUUGCUUGACAC
rnacentral:RNase_P_RNA from 1 species